UUGUGAAAACCAGACAGCUGGUCACCUGACGUCGCUUUUAUUUAGUUGAUUUCACUUUAAAAUGCUCACAGGACGGGGCAGGCUGCUUGUUUUAUUUUAUUUAAUGAGGGAAGAUGCAGCGGCGAUGGAUAGCAGCCGUCAAUCAUAAUGACUGUCAGCCUUUACAAGACAGGUCAGAGGAAUCGAURUUGUCUGAAUCAUCAAUGAGGAAGAUGAUGUCUGCUUCAUCCUUCUGAUAGCAUGCUGGAAACAGAAACGCUGCAGGCACCAGCCAAACAUUUGGACCAGUGAGGACGGGAAACCUGUUGUUAAACAUUGAAUGGCGCCCUCAGGAGGCGGUAGAGAGUCAC